rnacentral:rRNA from 1 species
AAUAUUGGUCAAUGGAGACAACGCUGAACCAGCCAUGCCGCGUGCAGGAAGACGGACCUAUGGAUUGAAAACUGCUUUCUUACAGGAAGAAAACAUACUACGUAUAGGAAAUUAACGGUACUGUAAGAAUAAGGAUCGGCUAACUCCGUGCCAGCAGCCGCGGUAAUACGGAGGAUCCAAGCGUUAUCCGGAAUCAUUGGGUUUACAGGGUCCUUAGGCGGCCUUAUAAGUCGGCGGUGAAAGUUUUUGGCUUAACCAAAAAAUUGCCGUUGUUACUGUAGGGCUUGAAUUUUUGUGAAUAGACAAGAAUAUGUAGUGUAGCGGUGAAAUGCUUAGAUAUUACAUGGAAUACCAAUUGCGAAGGCAUGUUACUAACAAUCGAUUGACGCUGAUGGACGAAAGCGUGGGUAGCAAACA